GGGUUCAGAACGUCGCAAGACAGUUCGGUCCCUAUCUGUGGUGGGCGCUAGUAAAUUGAGUGGACAUGACCUUAGUACGAGAGGACCGGGUUGUACGUACCGCUGGUGUAUCUGUUAUGCCGCCAGGUGUAAUGCAGAGUAGCUAUGUACGGCAAGGAUAAACGCUGAAAGCAUCUAAGCGUGAAACCUUCCACAAGAUGAGUUUACUUUUAAGGGUCGUCGAAGACUACGACGUUGAUAGGCUAUAGGUGUAAAAAUGGUAACAUUAAAGCCAAGUAGUACUAAUUGCCCGUAAGCUUUAUUUUU
rnacentral:rRNA from 1 species